CCCUCGCGGCCGCACGGGGAAGCGCGGGUGGAGCCGCCCGAGUCCGCGCUGCGCAGCGCUUGCCCGCUGCCCUCCCAGUCGGCUGGCAUGCCGCCUUGCCCAUCAAGCCUCUCUUCUGCUCCCAGCUCUCCGGAUCCUGGCCAAAUGUCCAGGCCGGUGCUUGGGAUCCUCCAGUGUGGUUCGCCUCCCGCGGGCUAAAACUUGCCCCUAUGGUGCCCUCCCAAGCCUGCUCCCUGAGGUCUCUGAACUCAAACUACCCCCCUGGACAGACCUCUUCGCUUGACCAGCUUCUGGUAUCCUGAAAUCCAGGUCGCACUUGCCCCAAGACUGAGUCCUGGCCUCUCCUACAAUGGCCACUGAACUUUGGGUGGUCUGUGUCCUCGAGUCCUAUUGGCACAGGGCAAUUUUCUUGGGCACUCGGGAGAGCAGAACUCCAGCAGGAAUGCAGACAGUGAAGACUGAGGCUUCGGGCAGGCACAAGCACCGUGCUGGGAACUGGACCCGGGCUGCUCAUGUUGCAGUCUGCCAAAGAACUUCUAUAUUUCUACAUCCUGAGACUUUAUGGGAGACAGAGUUUAAAGCAUACAGAAGGAUCAUCCCACAGCAGUGAAGUCUGGCCAUGGAAAGAAUGGUGUUUGAAGCUGAAGACAAGGAGAGUGUGGGUGUUAACGAGAUUGGUGCCAUUAAAAAAAAAUCCAAGUGCUUGCACCUUGAAGGUUAUGGCAGAGGCACAAUCUACUCCCUCAAAUGCUCCCAUCUGUCUGUCUGUCCACCUGUCGUCUGUCUGUCUGCCAUGAGGUGAACAUGCUCCUGCCACUAUAAUGUU